CCGACUCUCGCGGGAGAGAUCGGGCCUUUCGGGGUCCGGAGCCGAAGGCGCAACCGCCCCGGAAACGCUCAGGCAAAAGGACCGCGCGAGCUGA
rfam:Phenylobacterium sp. Root1277 contig_1, whole genome shotgun sequence.